rnacentral:lncRNA from 1 species
GUGACCCAACAGGGUACUGUGUAUCAAUAAGUUAAAUGAAAAUAAAUAAAUAAAAAUAAAUAGAAUUAAGAAAAUAUUACAUCUAUAUAAUAAAAAGGGUGUACCUGAAUGAAAAUUAUGCAUGUAACUGUUUGGUUAACAACAUUCUGCAAAAUAUCUUUUGUGUUCAACAGAAGAAAGAAACUCAUAAGUUUGCAACUUGAAGAUGACACAAUGAUGACACAAUUUCUAUUUUUGGGUGAACAUUCCCCUAUGUAAGCAGUUUUAGUAUAAGUGGCCUACAAGGAGUACUGCAGUGAAGGUACAAGUAGAUGUAUACAUUUACAUUGUCACGGUGCAGGGUGCCUUCUCAGCUUCCCCUGCGGUCUGUGUUGUCCUGUCUGUUCGGUAGCUCGUGGUCUGGGCAAUCAGCGGGGUGCGCAGAUCACGAGCUGAGUCUUCCCCACCUGUCGCUCGUUCCCCAGCUCCCUUAUAUGUCUCUGCCUCUCUGUCUGUCGUCGUGAGUAGAUUGUUUUGUCUUUGCCCGUGGUUUGUGUGGUGUCCAAGCUGCAUUCUCACCUUCUGUUUUCCCGUCUAAGGAUCCGUAGUUCGGAGAUCCGGCAGCGCGAGUGGUCCGCAGUGUGCCGGCCAGCUCGGAGAUCUCUGUGUGCGCCAGAGCAUUUAAUUAUUGUUUAUGUUAUUUUGUGUUUUGUGGCGAGAAUAAAGAUUCUCCUUUUCCCUACUCUGCAUCUGAGUCCUCUGUCUAGCCCGCACCCCUGACAGAAUCUAGCUUGCACUCACUGUUGUAAAUGAAGCAGUUCUGGGGAAUGAUGUAUGAAGUCAGCUUUGGGCAUGCGCCACUCAGAAGAGAUGCAUGCAGAAACGCAGCGGAGCGACCAAAACAAAACAACGGUCACUAAUUAGAAGUACAAUACAAGGAUUUGUAAAGAAGAAUGUCGGAGGAUUUCGAUAUAGACCAAGAGGAGACUGGUUUUCCUUUGCUAAAGUAAGGAAACUUUGCUUCUUUUGAUCCGUUGAACGUUGGUUUUCACAAGACUCACCAGUGCAUGCGCAGCGCUGAGCUCCAUACGUCAUGCUCCCGGAGCUGCUUCUGUGUACAACUGUUGGCGCAAGCUAGAUUCAAGUAAGCCUGGGCUAAAAAUUUAUAUUGAUAUUUAUCAACGGUACAACUUCUUCGAUAACGAUAUAAAAAAUGUUCGAUAUAGUGCACGUUUGACGAGUGACGCAGACAGAUCACACAAACACGAACACAUGCUGAAUUGAGUGCUGUGCCUGCCUGUGAUGAGGAGAUUGUGAAUAAUAAUAAUAAUAAUAAAAAGAUUAUUAGUCAAAUUUAAUUUAAACAUUUGCAUUUGAAUAUUGGGAGUGCGUCAGGGAGCGUCAUCGGUGGCGCGAGAUGCGGUAAUGUAAGUGACGUUGCAUUUUAAUGUUUUAUUAGUCUACUCUAGCCCACGAGAUGUGCCGCUGCUGUGUUAUGCAUUUUAAAUAUUAGAGAAAUAUAGAAGCUCAAUGCAGAGAAGAUCUUGAUUAGGUUAAAACCAAAACCAAGCCAUACACAAAGAGUGCAUAUUCAGUGCAAUUUUACACGGACAAAUACGACUGCUGCACUCGUGUCUCACAUGAGAUGUCGCCAUGCAAAGUUAAAACUGUGUAAACCUUAAGAAAAAACACAUUGCAAAUUUGUGGAGGUUUAUUCCUUUUCACUGCGUCUCUUAUUUUUAAAAAUGCAAUCUGCAUAAUGGGCGAUUUGGCUCUUUGUAUUAAGCAAUGCAUAAAUACAUGAUGCUGUUUCCGAAAUUAUAUUUGAUAUUUAUAUGAGUUCAUUUAUAUGUAAUGCAGGUUUUUUAUGGACAUUUAUUUCCUUGCGUUGACUAUUUUAAUGUGCUGUGUUAUUUUGCUCAUUGUGCCCUCCUAGUGGCCUUGGGAGACAAGAAAAAAGUUUCCUUAUGAACCAUUUAAUCUGCAUAGAAAACAUUAGAAAUUAGAUGUUUAAUUUUAAUUGUGUUUGACUGUUAAAACAAAAAUAUUUGUUGUUUGUCUCAAUAAUUUGGGUUAAUUAAAAAAAUCAGUGGUUAAAUGUACACAUUUUUUUAUAUUUCUCUUUGGUUUACAAAAGGUCAUAAAAAAAUGUCAAAUAUCGAUACCGAACGUUACGGAAACAUUAUACCGUUGAUAUUUUUUUUUUAGCUAUAUCGCCCAGCCCUAGGUUCAAGUGAUUUAUUAAGUUUAAAUAUGGAUAUAUUUCUUACAAAAACACAUCGAUUCACUAAAGAAGGUCUUUGUUGACCCCCUCCGCAUAGUUGCCAACUCUCGCGAGACAAAUAAGCAACCGCAGCUUCAAAAACAAGCCCAAUAUUUUUUGAUAAUUUAUUAUCAUCAAAAUUAUUUAUUAUCAAUUAUUUAUUUCCAAUAGCUGAGCCUGCAACACAUUAAACUGAAAUUAACCCUCUAUCUGAAAAGCAAAAACAUAAGUUAUUUUGCAAAAUCAGCAAACUGCAACAAAGCAGGAACAAAACUCAUCUCCAAUCACCUGUGAGCAGAGUAGGAUUGGAGAGAUGGAAAAGGCCAAAUAUAAAAUAUAAAAAAACAAAUAUACUCUUAGUAUUAGUAGGCUAUAGGCCUACUAUAUACUAUAGGCCUACUUGUUUUUUAUUCUAUGAUAACAAACAUUAGUAAAAAAAAAAAAUUAUUAAUUAGGCUGCCUUAUAAAGGAAAGAUAGUCAUCCCACUCCUCUGCAUCUACUACUAUCAUUGCUUGUAUUACAGCGUCACGCACAUUCUUUUUGAAUGUUAUUUUUUUAUCCAAAUCCUCAUUGAAGAAAAAUCACGUUAAAAAAAUGCGUCUGAGAAGGGGGCAGAAUAUUUGGCAAAUUAUGCUUCAGCGCUUAUAUUUUUGCACUGAUUGGCUAUUAACUGUGAGCAGACAGAGUGUCAAUCAAUGCAUUGGCGAAUACAGUGAACAUAAAUGAAAAGAAACGAAGUUGCUUGUCAGGUUUUCCUAACAAGCAACCAUAUUUUAUAAAAUAAGCCCAAAAAAAUGCAACCCGCGACCCAGGAUUUUUUCACGCAACUUUACAAAAAAAGAAGCCCAAAGUUGCGUAUAAUACACAGACUUGGCAACUAUGCCCCUCCGGAGCCGUGUGAAACUUUUUUUUUUUUUUAUUAGUAGUAUAGCCAGGACAAUUUUUAAAAUAAUGCCGACUGGAUUCGUCUGAAAGAAGAAAGUCAUAUACACCUAGGAUGAAUUCAGGGUGAGUAAUUUAUGGCCUAAUUUUCAUUUUUGGGUGGACUAGGCUGUUGAUGUUUUACGUUUAAAUGUUUGUCUUUUUCUUUUUUUGCCUUAGACCUGACAGCAAUUAAAGAGG